rnacentral:rRNA from 1 species
UACGUAGGACCCAAGCGUUAUCCGGAAUUACUGGGCGUAAAGAGUUGCGUAGGUGGCAUAGUAAGUUGGUAGUGAAAGCGUGUGGCUCAACCAUACAUCCAUUACCAAAACUACUAAGCUAGAGGACAAGAGAGGUCACUGGAAUUUCUAGUGUAGGAGUGAAAUCCGUAGAUAUUAGAAGGAACACCGAUGGCGUAGGCAGGUGACUGGCUUGUUCCUGACACUAAGGCACGAAAGCGUGGGGAGCGAACGGG